rnacentral:misc_RNA from 1 species
UCCGGUUUGUCACCGGCAGUCUCCCUAGAGUGCCCUUGCGUAGCAACUAGGGACAAGGGUUGCGCUCGUUGCGGGACUUAACCCAACAUCUCACGACACGAGCUGACGACAGCCAUGCAGCACCUGUGUUCCGGUUCUCUUUCGAGCACUCCCAGAUCUCUCCGGGAUUCCAUCCAUGUCAAGGGUAGGUAAGGUUUUUCGCGUUGCAUCGAAUUAAUCCACAUCAUCCACCGCUUGUGCGGGUCCCCGUCAAUUCCUUUGAGUUUUAGUCUUGCGACCGUACUCCCCAGGCGGAGUGCUUAACGCGUUAGCUUCGGCACCACGAGGGUCAAGGCCCGUGACACCUAGCACUCAUCGUUUACGGCGUGGACUAC